rnacentral:lncRNA from 1 species
UGGAGGAGGAGAGGCACUCUGCUUUUUAGAGUUUUUAGUUUUUCUGCUCUGUUUUUUCCCCAUCUUUGUGGUUUUAUCUACUUUUGGUCUUUGAUGAUGGUGAUGCACAGAUGGGCAUUGGUGUGGAUGUCCUUCAUAGGUUAGCAGCUGUUACUGUUUAGUUUGGCUUUCAUGAGAUACAAAACAGGGAGCGAGUGAGAUGGAGAAACAGUCCACCAAUAUUCAGAAACAUGGAAAACUGAGUAUUUCAGCCUAAUAUGGGUCUUUCUUUGACAUAUUU